ACUACGGGAGGCAGCAGUGAGGAAUAUUGGUCAAUGGGCGCGAGCCUGAACCAGCCAAGUAGCGUGAAGGAUGACUGCCCUACGGGUUGUAAACUUCUUUUAUAAAGGGAUAAAAUGAGGCACGUGUGCCUUUUUGUAUGUACUUGAUGAAUAAGGAUCGGCUAACUCCGUGCCAGCAGCCGCGGUAAUACGGAGGAUCCGAGCGUUAUCCGGAUUUAUUGGGUUUAAAGGGAGCGUAGAUGGGUUGUUAAGUCAGUGGUGAAAGUCUGCGGCUCAACCGUAAAAUUGCAAUUGAUACUGGCAGUCUUGAGUACAGUUGAGGUAGGCGGAAUGCGCGGUGUAGCGGUGAAAUGCUUAGAUAUCACGAAGAACUCCGAUUGCGAAGGCAGCUUACUAAACUGCCACUGACAUUGAUGCUCGAAAGUGUGGGUAUCAAACAGGAUUAGAUACCCUUGUAGUC
rnacentral:rRNA from 1 species